CAUGUGUGAGCAGGAUUAUUAUAUUUAUUUGGCAAUUGCAAUAUUGCAGUUAAUUUUUCAAUAUGUAGGCCUACUAUUAAAUUACUCAAGAGCCACAAGUAUGAUUCUACUGAGCAGCAUGCGGCUCGCGAGCCGCAGGUUGCCGACCCCUGGUAUAGCCAUUAAAGAAUAUAGCCAUUCUUGGAUCUGUAGAUUGUUAAAACAAAAACUGUUUUAAAGAUAUAUGAUAAAUCUAUAUAUAUGAGAAAAAAUAGUUGUUAUAUAAAGCUUGCUCAAAAAGACACUUAAAUUUUAGAAUUCAUUUUAUAUAAAAAAUAAG
rnacentral:lncRNA from 1 species